rnacentral:lncRNA from 1 species
UGCGCGGUGUGCGCUGUGGCGGCCGAGCCGGGGGAGCCGAUCAGCGUCGCGGCGGCGGCAGCUGGAGACAAAGCGCCCGACUAAUGAAUGGGACGGUCCUGCCUGACCCUUCCCUUUAACUCCUUCGGGUCCGGCCGGGCGGCGGUCACUAGCGGCCUCCCGCUUCCGCGGCGGCUGACCGGUAAGGUAGACUCCUCAGCAUCAAUUUUGAAUAGCAUGUAUUGAACCUGAAAUGAAGCCAGUGGAACUCAGUGGAGCAGAUAUAUGGUGUGAAAGGAUCAUAAUUACCUAAUCAACAGAAUGGCUUCCUUGAUGAAGAAAAGAGAACAUUUAGUUCAUAGGCUUAUGUCUACAACAUGAAGUAUUUAACAGUAGCUGUCUUUGAGAAAUUAAUUUGUGACCUGAGAUCUCCUGGUCCCGGAAAGAAAUUGAGAUUUUACAAAUUAGAGCUAUAAUUUUUCAGUACAUUUUUUUGUGACUAAUGAUAUUUAAAUUUGCACAACAAAAAUAUAGAAUACAAAACCCAAGGGUUAUACUGAUACAUUUUUUGUUUUUGCAUUACACAGGAUAUAUCAUUUAAAUUAAAUUUUAAAUCAUCUUUACUUUUUAUUUAUUUCUUAAUACAUGAAGACUCA